rnacentral:rRNA from 1 species
CACCAGUCUGGCGCGGACCGUACCGCAAACCGACACUGGUGGGCGAGCUGAAUAUGCUCAGGCGCUUGAGAGAACUCGGGAGAAGGAACUCGGCAAAUUGACACCGUAACUUCGGAAGAAGGUGUGCCGUAGUACCGUGAGAGGAGAGACACCUUGAGCGGGAAUCGGUCUCAGAGAAUAGGUGGCUGCGACUGUUUAUUAAAAACACAGCACUCUGCAAAGUCGAAAGACGACGUAUAGGGUGUGAUGCCUGCCCGGUGCUGGAAGAUUAAUUGAUGGGGUGAGAGCCCUUGAUCGAAGUCCCAGUAAACGGCGGCCGUAACUAUAACGGUCCUAAGGUAGCGAAAUUCCUUGUCGGGUAAGUUCCGACCUGCACGAAUGGCAUAACGAUGGCCACACUGUCUCCUCCCGAGACUCAGUGAAGUUGAAAUGUUUGUGAUGAUGCAAUCUACCCGCGGCUAGACGGAAAGACCCCAUGAACCUUUACUGCAGCUUUGCAUUGAACUGUGAACCGAUUUGUGUAGGAUAGGUGGGAGGCAGAGAAGAGUCCACGCCAGUGGUCUUGGAGCCGACCUUGAAAUACCACCCUGAUUUGUUUGGGUUCUAACCACGGACAGUGAUCCUGUCUUGGGACCGUGCAUGGUAGGCAGUUUGACUGGGGCGGUCUCCUCCUAAAGGGUAACGGAGGAGUACGAAGGUACGCUAGGUACGGUCGGAAAUCGUGCUGAUAGUGCAAUGGCAAAAGCGUGCUUGACUGCGAGAGCAACAACUCGAGCAGAUGCGAAAGCAGGUCAUAGUGAUCCGGUGGCUCUGAAUGGAAGGGCCAUCGCUCAACGGAUAAAAGGUACUCUGGGGAUAACAGGCUGAUACCGCCCAAGAGUUCAUAUCGACGGCGGUGUUUGGCACCUCGAUGUCGGCUCAUCUCAUCCUGGGGCUGUAGUCGGUCCCAAGGGUAUGGCUGUUCGCCAUUUAAAGAGGUACGUGAGCUGGGUUUAAAACGUCGUGAGACAGUUUGGUCCCUAUCUGCCGUGGGCGUUGGAAGAUUGACGGGGGCUGCUCCUAGUACGAGAGGACCGGAGUGGACGCACCUCUGGUGUACCGGUUGUCACGCCAGUGGCAUUGCCGGGUAGCUAAGUGCGGAAGAGAUAACCGCUGAAAGCAUCUAAGCGGGAAACUUGCCUGAAGAUGAGUCUUCCCGGAGGUAAAACCUCCCUCAAGAGUCGUCCGAGACCAGGACGUCGAUAGGUCAGGUGUGUAAGCGCUGUGAGGCGUUGAGCUAACUGAUACUAAUUGCUCGUGAGGCUUGAUCCU